rnacentral:rRNA from 1 species
CAGUCGCCGCGGGAAUACGUAGGGUGCAAGCGUUAAUCGGAAUUACUGGGCGUAAAGCGUGCGCAGGCGGUUUGUUAAGACAGAUGUGAAAUCCCCGGGCUCAACCUGGGAACUGCAUUUGUGACUGGCGAGCUAGAGUAUGGCAGAGGGGGGUGGAAUUCCGCGUGUAGCAGUGGAAUGCGUAGAUAUGCGGAGGAACACCGAUGGCGAAGGCAGCCCCCUGGGCCAAUACUGACGCUCAUGCACGAAAGCGUGGGGAGCAAACAGGAUUAGAUACCCUUGUAGUCCCUGUCUCUUAUAC